UACGAAGGGGGGCUAGCGUUGCUCGGAAUGACUGGGCGUAAAGGGCUCGUAGGCGGCCAACUAAGUCGGAUGUGAAAUCCCCAGGCUUAACCUGGGAACUGCAUCCGAUACUGGAUGGCUUGAAUUCGGGAGAGGGAUGCAGAAUUCCAGGUGUAGCGGUGAAAUGCGUAGAUAUCUGGAGGAAUACCGGUGGCGAAGGCGGCAUCCUGGACCGACAUUGACGCUGAGGAGCGAAAGCUAGGGGAGCAAACGGG
rnacentral:rRNA from 1 species